GGUUUGGACCGCAGGAACUUAGGUGCAAUUCCUAGGCUGUGCCGCAACGGUAAAGUCCGGAACUGCCCAAACC
rnacentral:ncRNA from 2 species